rnacentral:rRNA from 1 species
CAGCCGCCACGGUAAUACGAAGGGUGCAAGCGUUAAUCGGAAUUACUGGGCGUAAAGCGCGCGUAGGUGGUUUGGUAAGAUGGAUGUGAAAUCCCCGGGCUCAACCUGGGAACUGCAUCCAUAACUGCCUGACUAGAGUACGGUAGAGGGUGGUGGAAUUUCCUGUGUAGCGGUGAAAUGCGUAGAUAUAGGAAGGAACACCAGUGGCGAAGGCGACCACCUGGACUGAUACUGACACUGAGGUGCGAAAGCGUGGGGAGCAAACAGGAUUAGAUACCCCAGUAGUCCCUGUCUCUUAUAC